rnacentral:lncRNA from 1 species
AUCACAGAGCAUCCCCAAAUAUUCAGUUCAUAUCUGAUCACGAGGCUGGUCCUUCAGAGUCUGUGAGAAGGCAUGCUUCAGUUCCACAGUUAGAGAGCAGGGCACAUCCUUUAGAGUUCAGACUAGCAGAUGAUCAGAUUGAGAUGAUGUCCCAACAUGUUGCCUCCAUUCUAUUUCAGCAGUUUGCCACUUCAGUCUUUGCUCAGAGAUCGAUAUCCCAGGAUGACUCAGACCAGACUUUGAUCCCUCACAUUUCUUCUAUUUUUCAGAUGCUUACUGAUCAGUCGGUACGCAUUGAGCAGCUUGAGGGAUGUAUUUUGAGAUUGACAGGCAGAGUAUUAGACUUGCAGGGGCAAGUAUUAGCUUUAGCCCA